CCAGCAAUUAUGUUCCUAUGAAGCAACCUUUUUGGUCUUUCAUAUCUAAUAACGAAGUAUUAGUUAUUUUUAAGAAGUACAAGUCCUACGUUGGGGCCACAAUAAUGCAAAUAACGACAUAAAAGUUAUAUCCACGUCGGUUUCCUUUGGAUGAUAGCAAAUGGAGUUUUUUUCGAAAUGAAGUAAGGUGGAAGGAGUAGUUAUUGUCAUAUAAGGUUGAAGUGCUAAUUGAGACGAGUUCGUUAUUGAGUGCGUAUUGACGACAAGAGGGACACUGUGUUUAUGCUCACAGGUCUAGACAAGUUGUCGGAAGGGUCGCACUAGUAGGAUUUGCCGAGUACCAGCCAACAUGGUAAGCUCCAUGUUAUUCGAAAUUGCCAGGGUUAGAGUUUUGUGUAUAUACAGUAUGGGUAGGCCAGGGCCCUGUCCCGACCGUGUUAUAGUUAGACUCCUGUAAAGGCUUGUGGACUUGUUUUGUGAGUACAGUAUAUUAGUUUAGAGGCCUUGUCGGCCCUUGUGCAUAUCUAUUUUGGGGUUUGCUGCUUGCAGAGACGUAUAUUGUCCUAGUUGGCCAUGUAGUUAUUCAUGUAUGCGUUGGGAUGAUUCCA